GUCAACAAUGAGACCAGAGGUGCCAUGUUUGAGAGCAAAAAGUGUUCGUCUGAUCAUUGUGCUGCUUCCCUCAGCCUCCUGCGUCUCCUUCGUGUUCCAGUGAGUUUUGCUGCAGUGUCAGCUGUUUAUUUUGGUUUUCUAAAUAAACUCUUUAUUUUUGUACUUUG